GUUGCCUUUUGUUGAGAAAAUAUAUUACAUUUACAAUACAAAAAGCUGAGAUCUAAGAUAAUACAUCUCCUUGUUCUUUCUGAUACUUAAGCUUCUUUUACUUAAAAUCCUAAUCAGAAAUCCUGCUGUAAAUUUCACAAGCUAAGGUCUAUAAACUAUAAUAAUAUCAAUACCUUUCUAUAUACUAAAAAUUACAGCUUCAUUCCGGCAAGUAAUUGAGCUUCAAAUGCUGCUACACUUCAAUUUAUCAUCUGGGCUACUUCCACCUUCUUUCUUAACAGCAAUUACAUCUGUAAGUUUAUGAGGUUCAGCCUGUUCCAGCAUUUGAACUACCAUUCUCAUUGAUGGU
rnacentral:misc_RNA from 1 species